rnacentral:rRNA from 1 species
CUACGGGCGGCUGCAGUGAGGAAUUUUGCGCAAUGGGGGGAACCCUGACGCAGCAACGCCGCGUGAGUGAUGAAGGCUUUCGGGUCGUAAAGCUCUGUCAAGUGGGAAGAACCUAUGCAGUGUUAAUAUCACUGUAUACUGACGGUACCACUGAAGGAAGCACCGGCUAACUCCGUGCCAGCAGCCGCGGUAAUACGGGGGGUGCAAGCGUUAUUCGGAAUCAUUGGGCGCAAAGGGCACGUAGGCGGCUUGGUAAGUCAGAUGUGAAAGCCCGGGGCUUAACCCCGGAAGUGCAUUUGAUACUGUCAGGCUCGAGUAUGGGAGAGGGAAGUGGAAUUCCUGGUGUAGAGGUGAAAUUCGUAGAUAUCAGGAGGAACACCGGUGGCGAAGGCGACUUCCUGGACCAAUACUGACGCUGAGGUGCGAAGGCGUGGGUAGCAAACAGGAUUAGAUACCCCCGUAGUC